AACGAACGCUGGCGGCAGGCCUAACACAUGCAAGUCGAACGCUCCGCAAGGGGCGUGGCGCACGGGUGAGUAACACGUGGGAACAUGCCCUUGGGUACGGAAUAACGGCGGGAAACUGCCGAUAAUACCGUAUGAUGUCUUCGGACCAAAGAUUUAUCGCCCAAGGAUUGGCCCGCGUCUGAUUAGCUAGUUGGUGGGGUAAUGGCCUACCAAGGCUACGAUCAGUAGCUGGUCUGAGAGGACGACCAGCCACACUGGGACUGAGACACGGCCCAGACUCCUACGGGAGGCAGCAGUGGGGAAUAUUGGACAAUGGGGGAAACCCUGAUCCAGCCAUGCCGCGUGAGUGCUAAGGCCUUCGGGUUGUAAAACUCUUUCGCGAGGGAAGAUAAUGACGGUACCUCGAGAAGAAGCUCCGGCUAACUUCGUGCCAGCCGCCGCGGUAA
rnacentral:rRNA from 1 species